UCCUCCCUCUGGCGGCGUGCUUAACACAUGCAAGUCGAACGGACAGGCCCUGCUUUUGUGCGGUGCUCGAGUGGCGAACGGGUGAGUAACACGUGAGUAACAUGCCCUUGACUUUGGGAUAUCUUCAGGAAACUGGGGCUAAUACCGGAUAGGAGCUCUUGCAGCAUGGUGGGGAAUGGAAAGAUUCGGCUGUUGGGGAUGGAAUAGCGGCUUAUCAGCUUGUUGGUGGAGUAGUGGAUUACAAAGGCUUUGAAGGGUAGCCGGCCUGAGAGGGUGACCGGGCACAUGGGUACUGAGAUACGGACCAGACUGCUACGGGAGGCAGCAGGGGGGAAUAUGGCACAACGGGCGGAAGCGUGAUGCAGCAACGCCGCGUGCGGGAUGACGGCUUUUGGGUUGUAAACCACUUUGGAAUGAGACGAAGAGGGAGUGACGGUAAUGAGUAAAGAAGCACCGGCUAACUACGUG
rnacentral:rRNA from 1 species